AGGAUGAACGCUUAGCUACAGGCUUAACACAUGCAAGUCGAGCGGUUUGUGCUUUUGCACAUUCAGCGGCAGACGGGUGAGUAACACGUAUCUAACCUUCCCCUUACUUGGGCAUAGCCUCUGGAAACGGAGAUUAAUUUCCGAUGUGGUGUACAUUUCGCAUGUUUUGCGCACCAAAGAUUUAUCGGUAAGGGAUGGGGAUGCGCUCCAUUAGGUUGUAGGUAGGGUAAUGGCCUACCUAGCCUAUGAUGGAUAGGGGUUCUGAGAGGAAGGUCCCCCACAUUGGAACUGCGACACGGUCCAAACUCCUACGGGAGGCAGCAGUGAGGAAUAUUGGUCAAUGGCCGGAAGGCUGAACCAGCCAAGUAGCGUGCAGGAUGACUGCCUUAUGGGUUGUAAACUGCUUUUUUACGGGAAUAAUUAUGAUCACGUGUGAUUAUUUGCAUGUACCGUAAGAAUAAGGAUCGGCUAACUCCGUG
rnacentral:rRNA from 1 species